CCAGAAGGUCUACGCUGUGUGUGACUCAGAGAUCAUCAAGCCAGCCUUUGAGGGCCAAGGCAGCUCCAUGCCUGUCAUCGAAGCCAAUCCAAAUGUCCCCACUUCGACCCCUGGAGGCACUGGGGGGGUUAUCUAAAGAAGAAGAGAUCACUAUUGGAAUUUUAGCUGCCACCCUCGCCUUCCUCGCCAUCCUCGUUGCUUGGCGCUACAAUGCCCAGAUUAAGUGUCUUCCAGUGGCCUCUCCAGCAGUCAAAUCAGGGGAACCCCAGUGCUAUUCAGAUUAACUGAAGAGUGUGAUACUGUCAACUGAGGAAGAGUUGGACCUGCAGGGAAUAGUGGUGUGCCAAGAUGUGAAAAUCUCCUCCAAUAUAUUUCUAACAAGGCAAAUGUUGUCUAGGUCCUAUUUAACCCCAUGGUGUGUGUUUAUCCUGCAACUGGAGGGGACAGUGUUCUCCUUAAGUUCAGGUGACGUUCAGCUCUAUCAGCCAGGUUGCUUACUGUAGCAGUGGCACAAUGCGUCUCCCCAUCAAGCUGGGUUGUUACAGUAUGAUAGCUUCCACUCUGCACAUUUACAACAGGCAAGUUUUAAAAACACUGCUUCAAACUAAUUAUGGUCUAGACCAGUGGUUCCCAAAUUUUUUUAUGGUCCCGUACCCCUUCAAAAAUUCAACCUCCAGCUGCG